CUGAAAACAGAAAAGUCGUUUUGAAAGUCCGUCUCGUCUUAUUUCAUUUACUAUCAAAACAAAUGCAGCGACGGGGACAGGAUCUUUCCGGCAGUACGCGCUGGUGCUCAUGGGAAAUGUAGUGUUCUUUCUGGUAAAGCACUACCGCUCUUGUCCAAAGGAGCCGCCAAACUCAACAAAAGCUGAAAGUUACAUUGUGCUUGUGGCAGGGUGGAGGAGCUGCAGCCACUCAGGCUGACGGGACACAGGUGUGGCCCGUCAACCUCUCCACCCUGCCAGCCUUAUAAGGGAGAGGCAGAGAAGGUCUUGGGUGGCCCACCCCGGCACCACGCCUGAGGUUCGUCGCGGCAGCGCUGGCGGGGCUGCAGCCGAUCGGCCGGGAGGCAUUGGCUGCAGGUCGCCAGGCGACGGCUUCCGAGGCGGAGUCGGAGGGGGCUGCGGAGGUGGAGGCGGACCAGCAGCCGGAGCAGGGCGGCGUUACGGAGGAGGCGGUCCUGGACACACCAGCUCCAGAGCAGGGCUGCGCCGUGGAGGAGGCGGUCCUGGAGGCGGACCAGCGGCCGGCGCUGGUCUGCGUCACGGAGGAGGGGGUGGUCCUGGACGCACGGUCUGGCCCGAGGCCACCAUCGGCCCGGUCCCGAGAGCGGAUUUCUCGGCAGUCGGCCCGUCGCCGAGGACGGCCCCCCGACCGUUCCCGCUGGUCGGCCCGGCGCCGAGGGCGGCCUCCCGACGGGUCCGGGCCAGGAAAGCCCGGGGGCGCAGACGGCAGUUCCGGGCUUCCUCUCCCGCUCCGAGGGGUCGGGGGGGGUAGGCUCGGCCGGACGGACCCCGGCGCGAGUUUGGCGUUGGGGGUGUGUGGCAGGGUGGAGGAGCUGCAGCCACUCAGGCUGACGGGACACAGGUGUGGCCCGUCAACCUCUCCACCCUGCCAGCCUUAUAAGGGAGAGACAGAGCAGUCUUGGGGGCUGUGAAGGAGCUGGAAGCACGUGUCUUGGGUGAUUGCUAAUAAAAGGGAUUCUGCACUAAACUCCGUGUCCUCUCUAUCCUGUCGGUCGGGCCCCGUAGCACUCGCCGUGCUACACUGGCACCCAACGUGGGGCCCGACGGGAUGGAGACAAAGCGUCGCUCCGGGGAGAAGAGCAGCGGCUGCGUAGCAAAGCGUGUCCACGGUUCUGCGUCAAAUCGACGCGUACCCUACGCCAUAGGCUCUGCGUUGGUGUAACGCGGAAUCAUAAAUCAGCCUUUAGUCACCUCGUCUUCACACAGGAAGAUUGAAUUUAAUUCUAAACAGGUACACCACGGUUAUUUACUCCAAUUCCUCAUCAUUUCACUUCUUAUGUUACAACACAAAUUAAUCAUGUUAAAGGCAUUCUCCCUGAUUCUCCAUGAGCUAGCAAGAAUUUUGAAAAUGGCACCUCUAAGCCCCCCCCAUUCGGUCCGAAUGAUACGGAUUGGUCCAGGUCCAGGAAGGGAAAGAACCAAUCAGAUGCCUUCAUUUUAAACCACGGCCACGCCCCCCUCUGUCCCAUGCGCGUGCUCGCCGUGGAGAAUCUCACUGGAGUCCGGUUUGCUGAAGAAUGGCAGAGAAAACCCAGCCAAAGAUACAAAUGCCACUACUUGUAACGCCUCGCCCUGUAAAAAAGGCUAGAAAAAGAAAGCCAGAAGAAGAAAAAGCUGCAACGAAAAAGGCUUUGGAUAAAUCCAGAGGACAAACGAGGGUAAACAUCGGCCCAGCUUUUGAACGGUGGAGAGGACUGAAGGAGCUGAAGGGCUUCAGGAGUGAUGCAGAUAUUGCUAUCUUUCUGUUGGACAGCUAUGAGAAGGCUCCAGCAACUUCCACGCCGUCGAAGCACCCGAUGAGACCCCCUCCCCCACCCGUUUCAACUAUUGCUUCGGAGGCUCUGUCCGAUCGCGAUGAUGACUUCUCAGUAGCUGGGAUUCAAGACAUUAG